UAGUAACGGCGAGUGAAGAGGGAAAAGCUCAAAUUUUGAAUCUGGUACUUUCAGUAUCCGAGUUGUAAUCUAUAGACGUGUUUUCCACGGCGGACCUUGCAAAAGUCUCUUGGAACAGAGCUUCAUAGAGGGUGAGAAUCCCGUACAUGGCAAGGACUCCCGUUGUUUUGUGAUACAUGCUCAACGAGUCGAGUUGUUUGGGAAUGCAGCUCAAAGUGGGUGGUAAAUUCCAUCUAAAGCUAAAUAUUGGCGAGAGACCGAUAGCGAACAAGUACCGUGAGGGAAAGAUGAAAAGCACUUUGGAAAGAGAGUGAAACAGUACGUGAAAUUGUUGAAAGGGAA
rnacentral:rRNA from 1 species